rnacentral:lncRNA from 1 species
GAAUCAUUAAUCAUCACUUGCGUAGCUUAGAAAAUGCUCCAGUUCUUGCCAAAUGCACUGUUUACUGAAAAGAUGCCAACAUUUACUGCUGAAAAGAUAACAUACUUCGAGACAUAAAACGAAACACAGAAUUAAUCUUGUGUAUAUUAAAUAUGUUUCUGGAAGCCAUUUAAUUUGUGAUUUGAACCUUAGAGCUCCCAAAUGAAGGCAGUGUACAUGAAGAAUUGUCUUCCCUGCUAAACUGCACUUGUUAAACACUUGAGUUUUUUUCUACAGAUACAAUCACUGGAACAAAACAUCAGCUUACGGUGGUUUUCAGGGUUCCUGAAAAGCAUCAGAAUGCAUUGAAAACAUUUCUUAGGGUGAUGGAAGAGAAGAUCAAAGCUGCAGCUGGGACUGGGUGCCAGUGCUGUCAGCUUCAAACACUGGUGUGCCGUUGAGGAAGACAAGCUCUGGAUAGUCCUCUUUUCAAGCCCCCCAUGUGACAAAGACAAGCUUUGGGGACCACUUGGUUUUCGACCCGACACGAAGUGAGCUUUGGAAAAGCUGAAAAGUCACAAGCCUCAGCCGCUAGAUUUGCAGAGUACUGAAAGCACGAAGCAGAUGUCAGCCCAAAGACGAAAAGCAGAGAGAAGUCAUUUCGUGAGCUGAAGCAUGCCCUGGAAGACAGGAGCUGAAGAAAAAGGAGCAUCAGAGAAACCCCUUCAGAACAAAUGAAAAGAAGCAGACAGCUCUUCAAAACAGGAGAGGCAAUUGGAAAGAGA